rnacentral:lncRNA from 1 species
UCACUGCAUGACUUAAAGGCAGGAAUCCAAAGAGCCUGCUGCAAAGUGAGCUGUGGGGAUUGCUCUGAUUGCCAGUGUUUCCUGCCAGUUGCUGACAGAGCUUGGAACAGAGUAAGGUCUAGCUAACAAACACUGGUGGAUAAACAGGACCUGGCAAGAGAAAUCAGGGGAAUGGUUUGGUUUGCACCAGGCCACUGGAUCCCAUUUCUUUGUGCAAAACAUCGCAGACUGCUGCACUGGAGGAAUGUGCUAUGGGAUGUGGAGCAGAACAGAAAACACAUUCCUGGAAGGAGCCAGCAAUUCCAAAAGAUGGCAGCCAUGCAGAGGAGCUGCUGCCCACAUGGGAUGGCAAUAUGCUGUCACCAUCAGUGCACCUGCACGGAGGACAGAAGAAGAGCAGCUCCCUUCUGUGAGUCACCGUGCUCCCAUCUGAAACAUUGGGUAAUAUUAGCAAGGAGUCUCGUAAGUAUGCCUUUCCUCCAUCUGGCAGUUUGAUC